rnacentral:rRNA from 1 species
UGCUUGCACCUUUCAAGCGAGUGGCGAACGGGUGAGUAACACGUGGAUAACCUGCCUCAAGGCUGGGGAUAACAUUUGGAAACAGAUGCUAAUACCGAAUAAAACUUAGUAUCGCAUGAUACAAAGUUGAAAGGCGCUACGGCGUCACCUAGAGAUGGGUCCGCGGUGCAUUAGUUAGUUGGUGGGGUAAAGGCCUACCAAGACAAUGAUGCAUAGCCGAGUUGAGAGACUGAUCGGCCACAUUGGGACUGAGACACGGCCCAAACUCCUACGGGAGGCUGCAGUAGGGAAUCUUCCACAAUGGGCGAAAGCCUGAUGGAGCAACGCCGCGUGUGUGAUGAAGGCUUUAGGGUCGUAAAGCACUGUUGUAUGGGAAGAAAUGCUAGAAUAGGGAAUGAUUCUAGUUCGACGGUACCAUACCAGAAAGGGACGGCUAAAUACGUGCCAGCAGCCGCGGUAAUACGUAUGUCCCGAGCGUUAUCCGGAUUUAUUGGGCGUAAAGCGAGCGCAGACGGUUGAUUAAGUCUGAUGUGAAAGCCCGGAGCUCAACUCCGGAAUGGCAUUGGAAACUGGUUAACUUGAGUGUUGUAGAGGUAAGUGGAACUCCUGGGGUAAC